GACGAACGCUGGCGGCGUGGAUUAGGCAUGCAAGUCGAACGGUAGGAUACCUUCGGGUAUCUGAGAGUGGCGAACGGGUGAGUAACACGUAGGUGAUCUACCCUCAAGAUUGGGACAACCCAGGGAAACUUGGGCUAAUACCGGAUGAAAGCAGCAGUGAUGUUGUUUGAAAGGUGGCGUAAGCUGCCGUUUGGGGAUGAGCCUGCGCUCUAUUAGUUAGUUGGCGGGGUAAAGGCCCACCAAGGCGAUGAUAGAUAGGCGGCCUUAACGGGUGGUCGCCCACACUGGGAUUGAGAUACGGCCCAGACUCCUACGGGAGCAGCAGUCGAGAAUAGUCUACAAUGGUCGGAAGACUGAUAGUGCGACGCCGCGUGAACGAUGAAUCCCUUCGGGUGUAAAGUUCUUUUAUAUGUGAGCAGUGCUUCUUAUAUUAACAGUAUGGGGAGAGAGAUAUUAGCAUAUGAAUAAGCAACGGCUAACUCCGUGCCAGCAGCCG
rnacentral:rRNA from 1 species